AAGUCGUAACAAGGUUUCCGUAGGUGAACCUGCGGAAGGAUCAUUAUCAACGUAUCCACGUUAUACGAUCGCGAACUGUUUUCCUUCGGGAGGAGAAGGUUCGGUGCCAAGUCACAUGGCUUCUGUUUUCCUGUAUGAUUUACAGAGGUCGACUGGGCAUCACGGGAGUGGAGGGCAAAUUGGGUUAGGGGUGCGCCCCCUUUCCCAGAUAUUUGCGUUUCUGCUCUCGGCUUUCUCAGCCUGAAGAGUAUUUUCUUAAAUCAUACUCCAUUGACCCUUUGAACCCUUUCUGUUUGUGUU
rnacentral:misc_RNA from 1 species